CCUACGGGAUGCACCAGUAGGGAAUCUUCCACAAUGGGCGCAAGCCUGAUGGAGCAACGCCGCGUGUGUGAUGAAGGCUUUCGGGUCGUAAAGCACUGUUGUAUGGGAAGAACGGGUUUAAGAGGAAAUGCUUAAACAGUGACGGUACCAUACCAGAAAGGGACGGCUAAAUACGUGCUAGCAGCCGCGGUAGUACGUAUGUCCCGAGCGUUAUCCGGAUUUAUUGGGCGUAAAGCGAGCGCAGACGGUUGCUUAAGACUGAAGUGAAAGCCCACAGCUCAACUGUGGAAUGGCUUUGGAAACUGGGCAACUUGAGUGCAGUAGAGGUAAGUGGAACUCCAUGUGUAGCGGUGGAAUGCGUAGAUAUAUGGAAGAACACCAGUGGCGAAGGCGGCUUACUGGACUGCAACUGACGUUGAGGCUCGAAAGUGUGGGUAGCAAACAGGAUUAGAUACCCCAGUAGUC
rnacentral:rRNA from 1 species